rnacentral:lncRNA from 1 species
GAAGGCAGUGUACAAGCCUUAGAAGCAGACAUCUCUGCCAGGCACAUUGCUCGGGGAGAGUUCCUUCUUGAUGUCAUCAACUUUUCUGCUUAGAAGCCAGUUCAUCUAUGAUGAGCUUGUGGGAAGACAGUGGAGAAAGGGCCUAAGGAGAGAAUGAAAUAGCUUUUGAGGGGGUGGGAAGAACUGCUGCAGGAACAGCUGCAAAGCUCACUGGGCUUGUUGAAGGCAGACCCCACGGUGUUGGGGUUGGCAGCUUUGUAGUGACUCUGCUUUGCAGUUGCUUGGCUUUCUCUGAUACUGUCUUUUCUGCAGUCCAGAUUUUGUCUCCCUGGUUUAGAAAUUAGGGGCCCAAUUAUUUAGGCUUCUUUUUCGCAUGUUAAAAUAAAGAUUUAUACUUAUUUUAUACUUCU